UUAUUCAUAAACACAUCUUUCCAAAUGUAUUUAAGUGUAUCAGCAAGUAAUGCUGGCAACAGCUGAAACAAGUUUAGAGAAUACUAAGGGACAUAAGAUAAAGAUCUGAGCAGUAACAUAGAACAGAAGUAGGGUUAUUCAAAGCACACUUUCCCCAGAACUCCAGCACACACAAUAACUCCCUCUGUGAGUAGCAAGCUAUGGUGGAAGAUCAAAGAGCUAACACUUGAGACUAUAUCAAGAAAUCUAGUCGUUAAAGAGCCAAAAAUGUAGAUCAGAAUCUUCUUUCAGAUUAACUCAGGAUAUGAAGCAGAAAAAAAUGGGCAAAAUAUCUUUCCAGUGAAGUGAGGCAGAAAAAAGUCAAAGAAAAGAAAGUAAUACAAAAUGGACCCUUAAAAUAGGGGGCAUUAUAUCUAUUUUGGGUACCUGUAGACUGUCUCUUACCCCACCAAACUGCUGAUUAUUUGUACCACAUUCCUAAAAAUUAUAAAAACACUACAGAAAAUUUAAAAUGCUAGUUGAAAAACAAGCAAGUUCUAAAAGCUAUUCAGUGCAGGGGGACUGGGUUUGACAGCAAACCAUUCUUGGGUUCCUACUUAGGUUCCUACAAAUAAUUGGUGUUCAGCAUUUUUUAUAGGUAGUGUAAAACACCUAGUGAAUAUUUCUUUUCUACUUCUUUAACUUGCAAAAUAGAAUGGUAAAAUGAAAUGAUCUCUAUAGCAUAUUCUAGCCUUAAGAUCUUUUAUGUUCAAAUAUCUUGGAAGGAUGUACCCACUUGAUUAUAGAGAUACAUACAAUAAAAUGAAAGGUUUUUUCAGUAGAGAACACACCUGAACUAUGAUAUUUCUAAUACAUGGUUCUCGCAGACCUCUGAAUCUACCUUGAUGGACAAUUUAAUAAGCUCAAUAAAAGCCCCAACUGGGCAUGUGAUUUUAUAUAAUAUUUUUUAAUGAAGACCACUUCUUUAACCUAAGAAAAAUGUAGUUUUCCAUGGAUUUAACCUAUCUGUUAAGGUUUGACCUUUAAUAUCUUGCACAAUGAGUCAGCAUUACUUUGUGCUGCUAAGGAGUGUAAACUAAUUUCCACACUUGCUGUUAUAUAACCCAUCGCCGUAUCUUUUUCCAUGGCAUUCUCACAACCUUGCGUCUCAUCAUAACCUCUAAAUCCCUUAUUAUAUAUGGUCUUUUGUAAAAAUGUAUACGCCUUGUGUGUACACCUGAGGUCUUGUUUAUAUUUGGUUGCUGUGGUGCUACCCACAAGAGCAUUUUUGUGAUGGGUGUCGCUGUUUGCAUCAAAGCUCAAGUUCGACCUUAACUUAUAUACCCCAGAACAUAGUAGACACAGUGAAUUCCAUGUGACUAUAUUGUUUUGUACAUAAACAGUGCCUCCUAGAAUUCUAUGACUUUUUGCCCUGGUCUUGGCAGAGAUAAUCACCUCUUUGGUAAAGAUUUGAGGGAGGCGAUAGAGCCCUUACUCUGAGAAAGAAGCCACAUUGUAAAAAAAAGAAACUUCUUAAUGUGUCUGAUAGUAAUAGUUCAAGUCUUGCUAAAAUGAUUGGCUUCUGUUCUCUAAGAAUUAUUUUGUGGAUAUUCAUGAGAGAAAAAUAUCAUGAAAGAUAUCAGAAUAUUAUUUAAGACAUUAUUUCAUAAACAUAUGCUGUCCUAGUUCAUCUAAAAUGUGAGUCUUAAACAACUGUUUCUUUAUCAACAGGUCAAAAUAAAGAGUUUUGGAUGAUAGUCAGGGGAUCCAAGUACAGAAGGAAUAGUUUUAAUGUACUACAUUAUUCAGGCCUAUAAUCUCUUGGAUUGUUAUACAACAUUUCACUCCACUACUUGGAAAUGUUUCCAAAACCACAGAAUGUCUUCAGCAUUGAAAAUCACUUACUAUGCCAACAUACUUCUACCUCUCCAUUGAACCACAUUAUUAGACGAGUUCCUUUAGCACAAAUUAUUUUUUGAGGGACGAGAUUCAUGGUUGGAAAUGUCACACACUUUCAAUAACCUUUUAACACAAAAAUCUGGGAUUUCACUGCAUGCAUGCUUUCAGUUAAUCAACACAUGUUUAUUGGGGCAUUUGCUAAGAGCUACAGGACAGGUAUAGUGGAGAAAGUAAAGUCAAUUAAGAAAUGGUUCCUGUUUCUGAGCUGUUCAAAGUCUAGAACAAAAAAACAUACAUAAUCACAACUAUAAAACAAUAUGAUUAAGGUAAUAUGCAAGAUAAGUACAAAGGCUAUAAUAAUAGAGGGGUUAGCAGUUGACAGGUGGAGCCUAGAAAGUCUGGAAAAGUUAAAAUUGAGGCUAGAAAUUGAAGAUAACAUUUAAGCUGUUCAGAGAAGAAGAACUAAGGCUUUUAUGGGAGAGGGAACAUUAUAAAUUAAAGAAAUUUAAAAGAUUGAAAUAUAUCAAGACUAUUAUGGCAUUGACAAUUUAUGUGGCGUGGAUGUUUUAUGACUUGAAAUAUAUCAGGGAAUGCAUAGAAGAUGAAAGGGCAGGUAGGAUGAGCUUUAGUCUGCUGUACCUAUGUGCCAGGAAAGAAGGCUGAGCUUUGUAUCAUGAGAAACUUGAUGCCUUUGAAGGUUUUUUGAGCAGGGAACUAGAGACAUGAUUAUAACCUUAUUUUAAAAAGAUAAUUCUGUUGGCCAUAUUUGGUGAACACCUAUUAAUUUUCAGUUGGCCCCACUAUUCUUAGUUUUGAAUAGUGCCCCUUCUUUGCUUCUUGUGAUUCUGGUAGGACAGGCAAACAAGGGUCUCUACCUCUCCACCACAGCAUUGAGCAUAUAGAAAAACUUGCUUUUCAGACUGGCCCAGGAGUGGACCCUGACCAAAGAUAGCUUAAUGUAAGUCUUUGGGGGUGAGGAGAGUAGAUGACAUCCAUGCUAGUGGUCAGCAUGAUUUUCCUAUGGAAUUUCUAGCUAAAAGAUUCAUUCAUGUAAGCCUGUGGCUCCUUGGCUAUCUUUGUCACCAUGUAGGCAGAACCUGACCAUGGAGAUCAAGGGUGAAGAAAGCAGAGCUGAGGCAUGGAAAGAGAGACAGUAUUCUGAUAGCAUCUCUUAAACACUUGUAUCUAGCUAUGCUUAAAGACAACUCUUUGCUUUUAUUUAAUAAAUUAUUUUUUAUUCAUUUCAUAAUUUGAGUUUCCUUUGAGAAUGGAAGAUGAGAGAUAGAGGAAUUAAAGUAAUCUAGAUGAGUGAUAACAGCCUGAACUAAGACAAUGGACCUUAAGAAGAGAGGCUAUAUCUAAAUAUAUGAAUCCCAAAUGGCCAAACUUCAGUGACUUAUUAGAUGUGUGGGGGAGGAAGAAGGGGAGAAUGAUGAGUGACAGAUGUUAUCUAUGAAAUACUCUCCACCAUAAUAUCUAAGCUAGUGAAAUGGUGCAUUCUUAACUAAAAUGAAUGAUUGAAGAAGCAAGCUAUGCUUUAGCUUUCCUUUAGGUUCAGUCCUUGGAAAUCUACAGAGUUUAUUGCACUCUGGUGAACAGCCAAUGUGAAGAAACAGAGUCUGUGUGUGUCUCCUCCUUGGUACUCCAGGAGUCAGGUUCCAAGCUUAGUGUAAUUAACUAACAUAGCACUUGAUGUUCCUUCAUCUAAAAGCUGGGCACUGUCCGAUGUGACCUGCCAGUUAAGCUGAAUGCCACGAAAGGAUGAGGAUGACUCAUGCGUUCUGCUUCUAUGCCUGCCACUUGCUUUGAAUGGGAUAGAAACUUAAACCCUCAUCUUUGAAGCUAGUCUUUUCGAGUAACUCUGAGCAGAGCAGUAAUUCAAUCUCCAGUUCCCAGAGGUAUAAGUGAGAGUGGUUUCAGAGAGAUGAUCCCUCAUCUGUGCCAAAAUACAGCUGGAAAAGUACUCCAUUUCUUCUAUUCAAGAGCUUAAGAUUAAUCUUGUGUGAUUUGUCCAAUAUGAUGGAAUAAAAAAAAAAUACAGACUAAGCAGGCGCUUAAAAUAGAUGUUUGUUCCUUAAAAAAGAAGUUAUACAGUAUCUAGUAUAAAUCUGUACCCCAUAAAGAGCACAUUCAAAUUUUUAUGUAUAGCACCAAAACUGCAAUAUAAAGAGAAUGAGCAAGAGGCCUACUCACAAAGAGACAUAUAUAAUACACAGACUCAAGAAAACCUAUUUUGCCUCAUGGGCAAUCAAAUAAAUGCUUAUUGAAACUAAACCAAAGUACCAUUGCAUUGCUAAUAACUUAGAGGCAGGAAAUUAAAAUGUUAAAGUGAAAUCAUCAUUUUGGCAAUGAAUAUGGCAAUAUUUAAUUUAUGAUAUUUAAAACCAUAAAAUACUGUUACUCUUACUUAGUAUUCCUACUCCUGAGAUUAAGUCCUGAGGAUAUUAUUCAGCAAAAGAAAAGGAUCUGUGUAUAAAAUGUCCGUUAAAGCAUUCUCUAUAAUAUCAAAUAUAUUUGAAAAAGUUCAACUGACUAAUAAUAGGGAAUGGAUAAACAAAAAUGCUACAAAAAGGUGUACAGGCACAAGGUUAUCAAACAAUUGUUCACAUCAUGGCUCAGCAGUUAGCGAACCUGAUGCGGGUUUGAUCCCUGGCCUACGGGUUUGAUCCCUGGCCUCACUCAGUGGGUUAAGGAUCUGGUGUUGCCGUGAGCUGUGGUGUAGGUCUCAGACAGGGCUCAACUGCCACAUUGCUGUGGCUCUGGCACAGGCUGGCAGCUACAGUUCCUAUUCGACCCAUAGCCUGGGAACCUCCAUAUGCCAAGGACCCAGCCCUAAAAGACAAAAAGACCAAAAAAUUUAAAAAAUUUAAAAAUAAAAUAAAAACAAAAUCGAACAUAUAUUAUGUGAAUGAAAGGUAUACAUUUGAACAAAGACUAAGUUGACUCAAAAAGAGAGAAAGUAAUGUGUGCAUUGAAACUUCAUUUAUGACUGAAACCAAAAGGACAAAAAAGGAACUGCUCAAUAAACAGUGCUAGAUGACACAGAUACCAAAUCAAUUCUGAAAUUCAAUUCCUUUAAUGAGAAAGGCAAAACUGUCAAACUUUUUUUUUUUUUUUUUUUUUACUUUUUAGGGCCAAACCCAUGACACAUGGAGGUUCCCAGGCUAGGAGUCAAAUCAGAGGUGUAGCUGCUGGCCUACACCACAGCCACAACAAUGCCACAGAUCCUUAACCCACAAUGAGCAAGGCCAGAGACCGAACCUGAGUCCUCAUGGAUGCUAGUCAGGUUCAUUCCCACUAAGCCAUGACAGGAACUCCAAAAAAUGUUAAACUUUUUUAAAAGGUAAUCUAAGAUAAAACUUUUCUGGUUUCAAGACAAGGAAUAACUUUUUCAACCAUACAUUAGAAGAAUAAAAGAAAAUGAUACAAUCGACUUCAUGAAAAUAAGAAACUUCUGAUCAUCCAAAGACACCUUCAAAAGAGUAAAAAACACAAGCCACAGAUUGAGAGGAGAUACAUAUAACACAUAUAACCCACAAAGCACUACUACACAGACUACACGAAGAACUGAAAAUUUGGUGAACGUCAUGAAUACGUGUUUCACAAAGAGUGUGAGUAGCUAUCAAACAAGAGAAAAGGUUCUCAAACUCAUUAAUAAUGAAGCAAUUUUACAUUAAAAUCACACCGAGAUGUUUCACCACAGUGAUGCUAUGCAUAGCUGCAUGGAUAAUUCACGGCUCAACUCUAGGGAGCACCAUCUUUAUUGCACUCAAAUAUGACUGUUACUUCCCCCCACAGACUUGAAGCUGAGGAAUGCACUGGCUCUGUUUCACAACCACCAAACUGGCAGAAAAACAAAAGUCUGCCAUAUCGGCAAGGAUGUGAAACAAUAGGAAUCUCAGUCACUGCUUACUGAUGUGUGAAAUGAUUCAACCCCUUUGGGGAACAGCUUGCCAUUAUCUAGGACGAUUCAUAGCAGGUUUAGAGGAGGAAUAGGAAAGAGUGUUGACUGGUGACAAACAGAGAAAUGAGCAGAUAUUCAAAAUAAAAAUGUGAAAUGGCUCCAAUCAGCACACAUUUUUUUUUUUUUCCAGAUGUUCUUAGAAGCCUGGCAACAAAAAUGAGGAAAGUAGAUCAAGACAAGAUAAAAAACUGUCAGGAUAGAUGGGGCUAAAGGUCAGGAGGGCACAAGUAGAGGUUAAGCCAAAAUAAUUAUUCACAGUAUCCGUGUUAGUUACACAAAGACAUGAGUCAACACACUAUGACUUGUGAGCCAAGUCCAGGAUGACUAGUCAUUUUUGAAAAUAAAAUUUUAUUGAAAAACAGCCACAUCCUUUUAUUUAUGUAUAUCUAUGGUUGUUUUUACCCUAUAACAGUGAAGAUGAAAUGUUGUAUAGAAACCUAUGGCCUGCUAAGCCUGAAAUAUUUACUCACACUUACAGAAACAUUUUGCUAACCCCUGGACCAAAACAUCAGGAAAAGUUAAAAAAAAAAAAACCACAUAGAGUGAUAGGUAAAAUUUAAAAAUAUAUAUCUUAGGAGUUCCCAUCAUGGCACAGCAGAAAUGAAUCCGACUAGGAACCAUGACAUUACGGGUUCAAUCCCUGGCCUCGCUCAGUGGGAUAAGGAUCCAACAUUGCUGUGAACUGUGGUGUAGGUGCGACUCAGAUCUGGCAUUGCUGUGGCCGGCAGCUAUAGCUUCAAUUAGACCCCUAACCUGGGAAUCUCCAUAUGCCGCAGAUGUGGCCCUAAAAA
rnacentral:lncRNA from 1 species